AGAGUUUGAUCCUGGCUCAGAUCGAACGCUGGCGGCGUGGCUAAAACAUGCAAGUCGCACGGAAAGGCUUUUUCGGAUCCUUCGGGUGAAGAAAAAGUACUCGAGUGGCGGAAGGGCGAGUAAUGUAUGGAUAACGUACCCCAGGCACCGGGAUAGCAGCGGGAAACUGUUGGUAAUACCGGAUGAUGUUCCAAACCCCUUGGGGCUUGGAAUCAAAGGAUGGCCUCUACUUGUAAGCUAUCGGCGUGGGAGCGGUCCAUAUCCUAUCAGCUAGUUGGCGGGGUAACGGCCCACCAAGGCAACGACGGGUAGCGGGACUGAGAGGUUGACCCGCCGCAUUGGGACUGAGACACUGCCCAGACUCCUACGGGAGGCUGCAGUAACGAAUAUUGGACAAUGAGCGAAAGCUUGAUCCAGCGACGCCGCGUGCAGGAAGAAGUCCUUCGGGAUGUAAACUGCUGUCAGGGACCACCAAGCAAGGAAGGUUAAUACCCUUCUGCGUUGAGGACUCCCAGAGGAAGCCACGGCUAACUUCGUGCCAGCAGCCGCGGUAAUACGAAGGUGGCGAGCGUUGUUCGGAGUCACUGGGCUUAAAGCGUGUGUAGGCGGACUGUCAAGCGUUUUGUGAAAGCCCUCGGCUUAACCGGGGAAUUGCUUGACGAACUGAUAGUCUUGAGGCAGGUAGGGGCAACUGGAACUCUUGGUGGAGCGGUGGAAUGCGUAGAUAUCAAGAGGAACGCCAGAGGCGAAGGCGAGUUGCUGGGCCUGUCCUGACGCUGAGACACGAAAGCCAGGGGAGCGAACGGGAUUAGAUACCCCGGUAGUCCUGGCCCUAAACGAUGUCCACUAGAUCGGAGGCACUCUGACGUGUUUCUGGUCGAAAUGAAAACGGUAAGUGGACCGCCUGGGGAGUACGGUCGCAAGGCUAAAACUCAAAGGAAUUGACGGGGGCUCACACAAGCGGUGGAGCAUGUUGCUUAAUUCGAUGCAACGCGAAGAACCUUAUCCUAGGCUUGACAUAUACGAAUGCCUACUGGGAAACCAGGUCGGCUGCCCUUCGGGGUGAAACGUAUACAGGUGCUGCAUGGCUGUCGUCAGCUCGUGUCGUGAGAUGUUGGGUUAAGUCCCGUAACGAGCGAAACCCUUGUCGUUAGUUGCCAGCGCGUAAUGGCGGGGACUCUAACGAGACUGCCGGUGUUAAACCGGAGGAAGGUGGGGAUGGCGUCAAGUCCUCAUGGCCUUUAUGCCUAGGGCUGCAAACGUGCUACAAUGGCCGGUACAAAACGAAGCGAGACCGCGAGGUGGAGCAAAUCGUAAAAAACCGGCCCCAGUUCGGAUUGGAGUCUGCAACUCGACUCCAUGAAGUUGGAAUCGCUAGUAAUCGCGUAUCAGCGUGACGCGGUGAAUGUGUUCCUGAGCCUUGUACACACCGCCCGUCAAGUCAUGGAAGCCGGGAGCACCCGAAGUCGGGGCAUUUCAGCCCUGCCGAAGGUGAGUUCGGUAACUGGGACUAAGUCGUAACAAGG
rnacentral:rRNA from 1 species